AUGGUGAGAUUGAGCGGCGCGCUGACGGCGAUGUGGGGGUUGAUCUGCAGGUCGAAGUCGAACCAGUACAAGAGCACAUCGCUGGUGCAGGUCGAGGGGGUGAACACCAAGGAGGACGUGGCGUGGUACGCCGGGAAGCGCCUGGCGUACGUGUACAAGGCCAAGACCAAGAGCAACGACACCCACUACCGCUACCUCUGGGGCAAGAUCACCCGCCCACACGGCAAGUCCGGCGUCGUCCGCGCCCAGUUCAAGUCCAACCUCCCCGCCGAGUCCAUGGGGCGCAAGGUUAGAGUGUUCAUGUACCCGAGCAGCAUCUAA
rnacentral:rRNA from 1 species